UUCUCCUAUGUUAGUGGCUACAUGUCCUCCUUCUAAUGGAGAGGGUUUUUAACUUGGUCUCCAAGCUAGCCAAGUUGAAGCUUUUAGGGUUUUGCUUCUACAAUUUGGAGACACCUUAAGCCUAUAAAUAAAGGUUUCUCCCUGCUAUGUAAAUUCACCUUAGAAUUAAGUACUGUUUUGCUGCCAAAUUUGUGUUAUAUUACUCAACUUAGGUUACCAAGGCUAAAACACUCCUUCUAUGUUUUCUCUAGCUACCCUCCUUCUUGAGUUAGCCUAAUCUCUCUUUGGAGAGCACAUCAAACACCACUAUUACCACCAUCUCCCCACAUCAAACCUACUAUAUGCGGACAAUAUUCCCACCACCGUCAAGCUUCCGCAAUCACCAAAGCUUCAGUCAUAUAGCUUGGAGGAGCUUAUUACAUCAUUUGAUAAUUAGAUCUUAGUUUAUUUUUGUUUGCUCUUGUGUUUUCCUAACCUUGUCUUGUUGUAGUUAUUUUGAAAUAGUCAAAAUCAACCUCCCUUACACACAAAAAAAUUUUGGCAAUAAACAUUGAACAAGGUACCCAUGCUGCAAAUAACCAUAAGCUUUUUUAAAUUUUGUAAAGGUGUU
rnacentral:lncRNA from 1 species